rnacentral:rRNA from 1 species
UAAAAUUUAAAGUUAAAAUACUAAAAUAGUAGAUAAUUAUUUAUUGAAAUUUAAAUAAUUUGGCGGUAUUUUAGUUCAUUUAGAGGAAUCUGUUUAAUAAUUGAUAUUCCACGAGUAAAUUUACUUAAUUUGUAAUUUUGUAUAUCGUUGUUAAAAAAAUAUUUUUUAAUAAAAUUAAUAUUUAAAAAUUAUUAUGUAAAUUUAAAUCAGAUCAAGAUGCAGAUUAUAAUUAAGAAUAUAAUGGAUUACAAUAAAUUUAUUUAAAUGAAUAUUAAUUUGUAAAAAUUAUUUGAAAGUGGAUUUAAAUGUAAUUUUAUUUAAUUUAAUAAAAUGAUUAAAAUUUAAGGUAUGU